rnacentral:rRNA from 1 species
AUGAGAGGCAUGUUUUGGAAUAGCAGAGGUCUCUCAGACUUGGCUAAACAUAAGCACGUCAGUGAUUGUGUGCGAGAACACGAAUUGGAUUUUGUGGCAAUUUCCGAGGCUGGUAAAUGUGACUUCCGCCCGCACGUCCUCGAUCACCUAUCUGGUGGUUUCGACUACACAUGGCAUAGUCUACCAGCUCGUGGAAGGUCCGGAGGAAUCCUUCUUGGGAUACAGACCACGACAAUGGACUUGUUGGCCUUUUCGACCGGUGAAUUUCAUAUCAAAUUUCACCUACGAAACAGGGCUGAUAAUUUUACAUGGAGCCUGGUCACAGUCUAUGGGGCUGCACAAGAUGAGCAUAAAUCCGCUUUCCUUCGUGAACUGUAG